GUACUGUCUCCUUUUUCUAAUCAGUGAAACUAAUCUCCCCGUGAAGAAGCGGGGAUACUACUAUAAGACGAGAAGACCCCAUGGAGCUUUAAACCCAACUACACCCCUAUUUACAACAACUACUUAACCAAUUGGACACUGUAUGCUUGGUUUUAGGUUGGGGCGACCACGGAGUAAAAAAUAACCUCCACGAUAAAUGGGCUUACCCCCUUAUCUAAGAGCCACACCUCUAAGAAUUAAAAUAUUAAUAUAAUAUGAUCCUUUCUUGAUCAACGGACCAAGUUACCCUGGGGAUAACAGCGCAAUCCAUUUCAAGAGCCCCUAUCGACAAAUGGG
rnacentral:rRNA from 1 species